rnacentral:rRNA from 1 species
AAUAUUGGACAAUGGGCGAAAGCCUGAUCCAGCCAUGCCGCGUGUGUGAAGAAGGUCUUCGGAUUGUAAAGCACUUUAAGUUGGGAGGAAGGGCAGUAAGUUAAUACCUUGCUGUUUUGACGUUACCGACAGAAUAAGCACCGGCUAACUUCGUGCCAGCAGCCGCGGUAAUACGAAGGGUGCAAGCGUUAAUCGGAAUUACUGGGCGUAAAGCGGGCGUAGUGGGUUGGUAAAGUGGGAAGUGAAAGCCCCGGGCUCAACCUGGAAACUGCUUUAAAACCUGGCAAGCUAGGGUAUGGCAAAGGUGGGGGAAAUUUCCGGGGAGGGGGGGAAAGCGGUAGAAAAAGGAAGGAACACAAGUGGGAAAGGGGACCACCGGGGUUAAACCUAAACCUGAGGUGCAAAAGGGGGGGAGCAAAC